CAAUAGCGUAUACUAACGUUGUUGCAGUUAAAAAGCUCGUAGUUGGAUUUCGGGUGGGACGCAGCGGUCUCGCAUUGCGUUUGUACUGCUGCAGCCCUCCUUCUUGCCGGGGGCGGCCUCUCGGACUUCACUGUCUGGGGGUCAGAAUCGGCGAUGUUACUUUGAGUAAAUUAGAGUGUUCAAAGCAAGCUUACGCUCUGAAUAUAAUAGCAUGGGAUAACACGACAGGACUCUGGCCUAUCGUGUUGGUCUAUAGGACCAGAGUAAUGAUUAAGAGGGACAGUCGGGGGCAUUCGUAUUCCGUUGUCAGAGGUGAAAUUCUUGGAUUUACGGAAGACGAACAUCUGCGAAAGCAUUUGCCAAGGAUGUUUNCAUUGA
rnacentral:rRNA from 1 species